rnacentral:rRNA from 1 species
UUCCCGGGCCUUGUACACACCGUCCGUCACACCACGAAAGUCGGCAAUACCCGAAGCCGGUGGCCUAACCCGCAAGGGAGGGAGCCGUCGAAGGUAGGGUCGAUGAUUGGGGUG